rnacentral:tRNA from 2 species
GUGACUGUAGCAUAACGGCUAAUGCACUGCGUUGUGGUCGCAGCCAAUGCGGGUUCGAGUCCCGUCAGUCACCCC